rnacentral:rRNA from 1 species
UACGGAGGGGACUAGCGUUGUCCGGAUUUAUUGGGCGUAAAGAGCGUGUAGGCGGCCAGGUAGGUCUGCUGUGAAAACUCGAGGCUUAACCUCGAGCUGUCGGCGGAAACCAUCUGGCUAGAGUCCGGAAGAGGAGAAUGGAAUUCCCGGUGUAGCGGUGAAAUGCGCAGAUAUCGUGAGGAACACCAGAGGCGAAGGCGGCUACCUGGACAAUUGCUGACGCUCAGGCACGAAAGCGUGGGGAGCAAAAGGG